GUAGUCCACGCCCUAAACGAUGUCAACUAGUUGUUGGGGAUUCAUUUCCUUAGUAACGUAGCUAACGCGUGAAGUUGACCGCCUGGGGAGUACGGUCGCAAGAUUAAAACUCAAAGGAAUUGACGGGGACCCGCACAAGCGGUGGAUGAUGUGGAUUAAUUCGAUGCAACGCGAAAAACCUUACCUACCCUUGACAUGGUCGGAACCCUGCUGAAAGGUGGGGGUGCUCGAAAGAGAACCGGCGCACAGGUGCUGCAUGGCUGUCGUCAGCUCGUGUCGUGAGAUGUUGGGUUAAGUCCCGCAACGAGCGCAACCCUUGUCCUUAGUUGCUACGCAAGAGCACUCUAGGGAGACUGCCGGUGACAAACCGGAGGAAGGUGGGGAUGACGUCAAGUCCUCAUGGCCCUUAUGGGUAGGGCUUCGACACGGUCAUACAAUGGUCGGAACAGAGGGUCGCAACCCGGCAGGGGGANCCAAUCCCAGAAAACCGNUCGUAGUCCGGAUUGCACUCUGCAACUCGAGUGCAUGAAGCUGGAAUCGCUAGUAAUGGCGUAUCAGAUCGACGCCGUGAAUACGUUCCCGGGCCUUGUACACACCGCCCGUNACAUCACGAAAGUGAGCUGUACUAGAAGUCGCC
rnacentral:rRNA from 1 species